rnacentral:rRNA from 1 species
UACGUAGGGUGCGAGCGUUGUCCGGAAUUAUUGGGCGUAAAGGGCUCGUAGGCGGUUUGUCGCGUCGGGAGUGAAAACACCGGGCUUAACUCGGUGCUUGCUUUCGAUACGGGCAGACUAGAGGUAUGCAGGGGAGAACGGAAUUCCUGGUGUAGCGGUGAAAUGCGCAGAUAUCAGGAAGAACACCCGUGGCGAAGGCGGCUCUCUGGAACGCAACUGACGCUGAGACGCGAAAGCGUGGGGAGCAAACAGG